rnacentral:rRNA from 1 species
UACGGGGGGGGCAAGCGUUGUUCGGAAUUACUGGGCGUAAAGGGCUCGUAGGCGGCCAACUAAGUCAGACGUGAAAUCCCUCGGCUUAACCGAGGAACUGCGUCUGAUACUGGAUGGCUAGAGAUUGGGAGAGGGAUGCGGAAUUCCAGGUGUAGCGGUGAAAUGCGUAGAUAUCUGGAGGAACACCGGUGGCGAAGGCGGCAUCCUGGACCAACACUGACGCUGAGGAGCGAAAGCCAGAGGAGCAAACGGG